rnacentral:rRNA from 1 species
UACGUAGGGGGCAAGCGUUGUCCGGAAUUAUUGGGCGUAAAGAGCUCGUAGGCGGUCUGUCGCGUCGAUCGUGAAAACUUGGGGCUUAACCCUGAGCUUGCGGUCGAUACGGGCAUGACUGGAGUUCGGCAGGGGAGACUGGAAUUCCUGGUGUAGCGGUGAAAUGCGCAGAUAUCAGGAGGAACACCGGUGGCGAAGGCGGGUCUCUGGGACGGUACUGACGCUGAGACGCGAAAGCGUGGGGAGCGAACAGG